rnacentral:tRNA from 1 species
GCCCGGGUGGCGAAAUUGGUAGACGCAAGGGACUUAAAAUCCCUCGCCAGAAAUGGCGUGCCGGUUCGAUUCCGGCCCCGGGCACCA